AUUGAACGCUGGCGGCAGGCUUAACACAUGCAAGUCGAGCGGGGUGAUGGUGCUUGCACUAUCACUUAGCGGCGGACGGGUGAGUAAUGCUUAGGAAUCUGCCUAUUAGUGGGGGACAACAUCUCGAAAGGGAUGCUAAUACCGCAUACGUCCUACGGGAGAAAGCAGGGGAUCACUUGUGACCUUGCGCUAAUAGAUGAGCCUAAGUCGGAUUAGCUAGUUGGUGGGGUAAAGGCCUACCAAGGCGACGAUCUGUAGCGGGUCUGAGAGGAUGGUCCGCCACACUGGGAGUGAGACACGGCCCAGACUCCUACGGGAGGCAGCAGUGGGGAAUUUCGGACAAUGGGCGAAAGCCUGAUCCAGCAAUGCCGCGUGCAGGAUGAAGGCCUUCGGGUUGUAAACUGCUUUUGUACGGAACGAAAAAGCUCCUUCUAAUACAGGGGGCCCAUGACGGUACCGUAAGAAUAAGCACCGGCUAACUACGUGCCAGCCGCCGCCGUAA
rnacentral:rRNA from 1 species